UUGACUGAAGUUGAGCAAAUCCCCUCUUUCCCAGCGCUGACAGAGGGGUGGUGUAUGUUUCACUUCUUUUUUUUACUUUUUAAAAGCAAAAUAUAGGAGGAAAGUGGCGUUCCUGGAGAGAUACGUUCACAUUUCAUCUUAUUUUGGCAGGGGGGUGGGAAGGAGCUGCAGAUGGGUGCAGUGGCAGCACAGCUCUUACAGCACGGAGCAGCCCCAGAGCUCACCGCCAUGGCCAGCAGCAACAAAAGACACCACUGAUAUUUUCAUAAUCCUUUUUCCCUCCUCCUCUUUUAUCCCAGAACUGAAAAAAAACAGCAACAGAAAGAUGCUUUACUGUGCAGGGUAAACCCUGAGCCACAGAACUGUGGGGUCAUGGGUGGGAGAGCUCACCCCUCUCCUGCGUAGCCUCAAAUGGGAUUCUUUUUAAUAAUGGUUUGGUAAUGGGAGUGUUCCUAUUUGCAUGCUGCAGCACAUUGGGGUUUUCCAAAGGAGAUGCAGAGAGGGGGUCUCAGUUGUGCUCAUAAAGUCUGGGAAGUCAGAAAAUUCAGAUUUGACCUCAGGGAAAUGAGGAAGAGGUGGAAUCCAUUAAGAAGUCGUGGCCAAAUCACUGCACUGAGUUUAAAAGUUGUGUUCAAUCAGUUGGUGGUGGUGGCUUUGGGGAAGGGCUGGAAGUCAGUUUUUGGUGUUAAUGGUUUUUCUUUCCCAGAGGCAAUCUGAUCUGAUGUUCUGUUUGUCCCACAGCACAGUGCAGCCCGGCAGCUUCACUCGGGCUGCAAGAGAGUUGGAGGUCUUCAGCCAGGCACCUCUGGUUUGCUCAGAGGACUGCCUGAUACCCACUGCCAGUUGCAUGGGGUGAAGGAGGUUUGUGUGUAGAAUGUCUGACACCGAUACAGGUGAGGAGGGAAGCAGUGCCUGGAGGUGCUGAGGUUGGUGAAGACUCUGCAGGAGGGGAGCAGCGCCGGGAGCGGAGCCCUCCAUGCAUCACCUGCACGUUCUCAUCUCGAGAUCCGCGGGGAACGCGAAGAAGCCGCCUUAGGAUGCGGGCAAAGUGUUGGGCAUCGGGAUCUGCUCCGGGCAUCCCCAGGAAGGGGCGGGAGGAGCUGUGUGUGCAUUCCAAGGGCUGCACUGCCACCUCCAGGUCUGCACAGCCCCACACAGCUGCGGCUCCGGCGCCGUCCCCGUUCAGCGUUGCAGAGGGGUUGGAGAGAGGAGCGCUCAACUAUUUGCGAUGAUUUCUUUUUUUCUUUCCUUUUUAAUUGUAGAUGAAAGACCGCACGAUGUCUCUUUCCGUAUGAAUUUCUCAUUGCAGAAUGACGGCGCAUCGAUGUGAGAAACCGGGCGUUUCUAUGAGAUGACGGCAUUGUUUUUUUUCUGCCCUGCCAGAACAGUGCUGUCCUCCUCCUGCAUGGCCAUCUCCUCGCCUAUGAGCAUCGCAUUGCUGCGGGGCAGCUGCGUGCGGGGUUGCGUUGGCCCCGCGCACCGGGAGGUGGCACUGCAGCCGCAGCUUUGCGUGCCUAUGCACAGGUAAAGUGUGUUUUACUGGGAAAACAGUGGGAAGGAGCAAAACGUGGGAGCGUGGAGCAAGGAGGGUUUCCCUGGCACUUGUUUUCCACCUUUGUGAUGCCCUGGGAAAAGAUCUAAGCAAGCAUUUUCCUCCCCAAGUUCUACUCUGCAAAGUGUGCUCCUCAAGCAAAGCACAGAGAGAAGGAAGGCGUUGACAAAUGACACCCAGAAGUGUAGAAAAGAAGAAAACAAACAACGCAACCCCUUUUCUGCAGCUCCCCUGGGAGGAGUGCAAAAGUUGGGAGAUGCAUCAAAUUUCCAUCUCGUAUCAUUCUAACUGUUCUGGGUAAUGGGCCACAAGUCACCACUGACUUGAUGUCAAUCUCAGGGUGAAAUAUCCAGGCAAUGAGACAUGAUGAAGGAGACUGGUGAGCCAUCACUGCACCUAUGGGCUGUCACGUUGCCAUUGAGUGCCCGCCAGCUUUUGUUGAAUGGAUGAAACUCAUCCACUUUGGCAAGCAUCCUUAAAGUAGGAUAAAACUAGGAGGGCCUGUUGGAUGCAGGAGGAAGGACCCAAGGAGAUGGGGAGCUGUCAUAGAUUCCAUUACAAAAUGGUGUGGAGAUGCCUCUGAAUCUUGGUCAUCCCCAACCUCAACCAUCCUCAAUCUCAAUCCUCAACAUUUCCAAGCAGGAAAGAAGAGCAGGAAAACUCAGCUCCCAGCCCUCUUUUUGUCUUAUGUUGACCUUCAUGGUGCCUUUCCCAAAUGUAAAAUUUGGGAAACCUUGAUGUUCCAAAAAAAAAAAUAAAGUCUAAGUGAGGUUGAUGUACCUUCAUAAUUGCACCUGUAAGCAAGGGGAGCGUCCUGCUGUGUGCUGCUUCCUUGCUGUGGUGUAGUACUUUGGUGGGUGGAUUUGAGCUUUGAGAACGCAGUGCAGAAGGAACAAAAAGAAAAGAUGAAGCUGGUCUCGCAAUGGAAGAUUUUUUCUGCUUUUCAGUGAUUUGAAAAGUUUGGCCUGAAUGUCAAGAAAAAAGAGGGAAAAAACCCAACCCAUGCAUUCUCCUAAUUUCAGCACAUUACCCAAUGAUUAAACAAUCUGGACCACUCCGUAUGACUGUAUUCACCACACAAAGAGGGCUACAAAUAAUAGCAACUUAACGGAGGUGACAUCUCCAAGCCUCUUAGGAGGCUAAUUCUAUAACAACAUUAAUUCAACAUAAUGCGUUCAUGAAUAGAGAUUGGGUUAAUGCAGGUUUUUCAAGUUAGGCAGCUUAUUCUUGCCGAUCUUCAUUUAACUAAGUGCCUGAUCUGGAAAACGCCGUGUCUGAGCUGAGGAUGCACAGGGUUGGCAUCAAAAGCGCAGUCUUCAAGCAAGAUAAGAAGAGAAGGAUGUUGAUCAGAAGAAAUGUUCUUGCUCAGAUUGACACCAGUGCCUGAAUAAAGGCUAGAUGAUAUAUUCAAAGAGUUUCAAGGAGUGUUUUUCUAGAAAAUCCUCUCUUUUUUUGGUGUUUCUCACCUCUUGCUGCCGGGGUUAGGUCUCUAGCUUAAACCAGCCCAACCUUUUCUUCCCAGACAUUAGACACAGAUUGAUCAUUUGAUAAAUCAUUUCUGUGCUCACUUCCCAGCAAACA